ACUCUCGCCCUGAUCAUAACGCUGUUUGACCUUACCCGCAGAAGAAGGCACGCGCGGGAGGGCGUCCUCUCCGAAGACACUGAGUUUUGAAAGGACCUGAUAGGACAGAAGAAGAAAGAAGAGAGAAAAUAUUUCUUGAGGGAGUGUGAGUUCCCUCCUUUGGGAGUUGGAAAAGAAAGAAAGAAAAAAAUAAGGAGAGGAAGCCCAGGGUCUUCUCAAGAACAAAAGCAAGUCGCGCGACAGGAAAUCCAGGUAUCGGAAGAGACGAGAAGAGAGGAGGAAGUCAAGAAGGCGAAAGGGGAAGAAGAGGAAGAGGACGAAGGAGAGAAAGAGACGAAAGAGGCUUCGCGAAGGAGGGAAGGAGCGGCAGCGGACAAAGAACACGCGUGAUCGAUAGGGCGACGCGGCUGUUAGGAGGAGUGAAAAAUGGAGAACCAAAGCAUAUCGGAAGAAAAACUGCAGAUCAUCAGGAAAACCUUUGCCAUGUUCGACCAGGAGAAGACAGGGUUCGUUCCCACCACAAGAUCACGGGGACUUCUCAACACGCUGGACCUCAAGUUCAGUGAAGAAGAUGUGAGACUCAAGAUCAAGGCUCUAGACCCACAAC